CACGUAGGGCGCAAGCGUUGUCCGGAAUUAUUGGGCGUAAAGAGCUCGUAGGCGGUCUGUUGCGUCUGCUGUGAAAACUCGGGGCUUAACCCCGAGCCUGCAGUGGAUACGGGCAGACUAGAGGUAGGUAGGGGAGAAUGGAAUUCCCGGUGUAGCGAUGAAAUGCGCAGAUAUCGGGAGGAACACCGGUGGCGAAGGCGGUUCUCUGGGCCUUACCUGACGCUGAGGAGCGAAAGCGUGGGGAGCGAACAGG
rnacentral:rRNA from 1 species